rnacentral:rRNA from 1 species
GAUGAACGCUGGCGGCGUGCCUAAUACAUGCAAGUCGAGCGAACAGAUAAGGAGCUUGCUCCUUUGACGUUAGCGGCGGACGGGUGAGUAACACGUGGAUAACCUACCUAUAAGACUGGGAUAACUUCGGGAAACCGGAGCUAAUACCGGAUAACAUAUUGAACCGCAUGGUUCAAUAGUGAAAGGCGGCUUUGCUGUCACUUAUAGAUGGAUCCGCGCCGUAUUAGCUAGUUGGUAAGGUAACGGCUUACCAAGGCAACGAUACGUAGCCGACCUGAGAGGGUGAUCGGCCACACUGGAACUGAGACACGGUCCAGACUCCUACGGGAGGCAGCAGUAGGGAAUCUUCCUCAAUGGGCGAAAGCCUGACGGAGCAACGCCGCGUGAGUGAUGAAGGUCUUCGGAUCGUAAAACUCUGUUAUCAGGGAAGAACAAAUGUGUAAGUAACUGUGCACAUCUUGACGGUACCUGAUCAGAAAGCCACGGCUAACUACGUG